GUCCUAGCCGUAAACGAUGGGCACUAGGUGUAGGGAGUUAUCAACUCUCCCUGUGCCGUAGCUAACGCAAUAAGUGCCCCGCCUGGGGAGUACGGUCGCAAGACUAAAACUCAAAGGAAUUGACGGGGCCCGCACAAGCGGCGGAGCAUGUGGCUUAAUUCGAUGCAACGCGAAGAACCUUACCCAGGCUUGACAUGUAGGGGAAAGCCAUGGAAACAUGGCCCUCCUUCGGGACCCUUAUGCAGGUGGUGCAUGGUUGUCGU
rnacentral:rRNA from 1 species